ensembl:lncRNA
CUGAAGCAAUUUUUCUUCCUCCUUCACUUUCUCCUGAAGACCACAGCAGAAAUGCUCCCCCCCAGAUCAUUUACUGAAGCUAAACUGAAAAAAUAAAUUAAUAAACAAGGCAUGAAUGAGCGUGUGAAAGGUGCUGUGGAGUGUUAGCGGGGUCUGUCUUUGUGGACCUGAAAAGCCCAUGAUAAUGAGCUUCUCCAGUUGGGUGGAGAGAGGCACACAUGCCAAGGAGAAUCUCGGGCUUCGCAUUUCAUUAAAGAAAGGUUUCAGCCUUUUUCCUUGCUAAAAAGCAGCUUUGAAAAGGGAAAGCGACACAAACUGAUCAUUAUGGUUGAAAGUGCAAUCAUUAAAAAAUCUCUCCUCAUUCACAGGCUCCCGACAGCUGGUCGCUGGGGUCUGAAUAAACGCAGCCAGUGCCGUGUGGAUCUGGGGGAGGAAGAUGCUCCAUGUAUCCAUAGCCACAGGGGGCUGUGCCACAGGGCCUCUGUGGGCUCCCCAAGCCACCUACCAGCUGGCCACCUCCCAGAGAAGCUGCCUCUGCCCCCUGACACCCACAGGACCCCUGCCCAGGGACAAUACCCUAUUGAAGGGUUUAGGAUGCUGGGAGUACUCACUAGCCUGCUUUCUCUCUUUCCCCUUCUCCGCCUCACUCUCGCCUCUCUGCCCUCUCCAAACCUCUCCCUUUUCUCUAACAGUGUAUUUCCCAGCCAGAGAGCCUUUUGCUACGGUGGGCCCUCUUAUCCUGCCAUCACGCUUCGCUGAGCCUGCUGUCCUGGGAUUGGGGAGAUGCUGAGCUGUAUUCAUUGUGACACAAAGUAAAAGCGGCAGGUUCCCAGCCUCAUGAGCAACAGCAACACUCCAGCAUUUAAUGGACUUAAACCUCUCCUGCAACCCACCUGUUUCUGGGCAAGAAUCACUGUCCUUUGAGUUUACUGCUAUUGUGAAAUGACCAUCAAGAUGACUUAUCAGUGACACUGAUGUGACACUGUCAGCAUGCAGAACAAAAACAGAGAGUUGCAGGCUCUGAGCACACCCAUGUACUUUGCAAUUUUCAACCUGGGUGUAAGGAUGACAGAAAGGAGACAGAGGACAAAAGAGGUGGAAGACUGUGCCCAGGUGACCAACCAUUCUGAGAUGAGAGUCUGGGAGUGAAAUAGGAGAUUCUUGAAGUAUAGACAAUUUUGCUGAUAAUAUCAGUGAAUCUUAUUUGGAACUGCUGCUUCCUAUGCCCAAGUCAGCUAAUGUCUGAUGCAUGCAAGCGCACUCCUCUUCAGAUCAAGUUGUUUCUUAGAAGUGCUUUCAUUUUGAAAUGGGAAAGCAGCUGUCUUUUUUAAAAAAGUUAAAAUAUUAAUUUGUUUUCAAGCAUUUACACUGCUUGCUUAUUUUCCGCACUUCUCAUAGCUUUGGGAGAACUCUGUUUUACUCUUUUUAUCGAUUCUCUACAUGUUGUACUCUUCUGCCAGUGGGCUGGGAAGAGAAC